AAAUUGAAGAGUUUGAUCAUGGCUCAGAUUGAACGCUGGCGGCAGGCCUAACACAUGCAAGUCGAACGGUAACAGGAAGCAGCUUGCUGCUUAGCUGACGAGUGGCGGACGGGUGAGUAAUGUCUGGGAAACUGCCUGAUGGAGGGGGAUAACUACUGGAAACGGUGGCUAAUACCGCAUAACGUCGCAAGACCAAAGAGGGGGACCUUCGGGCCUCUUGCCAUCAGAUGUGCCCAGAUGGGAUUAGCU
rnacentral:rRNA from 3 species